rnacentral:rRNA from 1 species
UACGUAGGGGGCUAGCGUUGUCCGGAAUCAUUGGGCGUAAAGCGCGUGUAGGCGGUUCGGUAAGUCCGCUGUGAAAGUCGGGGGCUCAACCCUCGAAUGCCGGUGGAUACUGUCGGACUAGAGUACGGAAGAGGCGAGUGGAAUUCCUGGUGUAGCGGUGAAAUGCGCAGAUAUCAGGAGGAACACCGGUGGCGAAGGCGGGUCUCUGGGCCGUAACUGACGCUGAGGAGCGAAAGCGUGGGGAGCAAACAGG